rnacentral:misc_RNA from 1 species
AAGUCGUAACAAGGUUUCCAUAGAGUUCCGUAGGUGAACCUGCGGAAGGAUCAUUAUCGACGUAUCCACGUUAAUACCAACCGCGAACCGUUCGGUCCACAUGUACGUGUUUUUCACUCCUAUGUGUUAGACCAAAACCCCAUAGGGUAAGUCGCGGGUGAAGGGGAGGCGUGGUGGCCUCAUUUGCCUGCCGCUUCUUAUGGGUUAUUGAACCAUUAACCAAUUGAACCUUUUAUUAUAUUAUUUAUGUACUUAAUUAUAUUUCUUACCUUUCUUAAUUGGAGGAAGAAAUGUUAUUAUACGUAACAAAAAAGAACAACUCUUAGCAACGGAUAUCUUGGUUCUC